CCCUUAGAUGUUCUGGGCCGCACGCGCGCUACACUGAUGCAUUCAACGAGCCUAUCCUUGCCCGACAGGUCCGGGUAAUCUUUGAAUCUGCAUCGUGACGGGGAUAGAUUAUUGCAAUUAUUAAUCUUCAACGAGGAAUUCCUAGUAAGCGCGAGUCAUCAGCUCGCGCUGAUUACGUCCCUGCCCUUUGUACACACCGCCCGUCGCUACUACCGAUUGGAUGGCUUAGCGAGAAUUUUGGAUCGGAGCCCGGGUGGUCGGCAACGGUCGCCCGGGAGAUCUGAGAAAUCAUUCCAGCUUGGUCAUCUAGAGGAAGUAAAAGUCGUAACA
rnacentral:rRNA from 1 species